GAUGAACGCUGGCGGCGUGCCUAAUACAUGCAAGUCGAGCGAACAGACGAGGAGCUUGCUCCUCUGACGUUAGCGGCGGACGGGUGAGUAACACGUGGAUAACCUACCUAUAAGACUGGGAUAACUUCGGGAAACCGGAGCUAAUACCGGAUAAUAUAUUGAACCGCAUGGUUCAAUAGUGAAAGACGGUUUUGCUGUCACUUAUAGAUGGUUCCGCGCCGCAUUAGCUAGUUCGUAAGGUAACGGCUUACCAAGGCAACGAUGCGUAGCCGACCUGAGAGGGUGAUCGGCCACACUGGAACUGAGACACGGUCCAGACUCCUACGGGAGGCAGCAGUAGGGAAUCUUCCGCAAUGGGCGAAAGCCUGACGGAGCAACGCCGCGUGAGUGAUGAAGGUCUUCGGAUCGUAAAACUCUGUUAUUAGGGAAGAACAAAUGUGUAAGUAACUAUGCACGUCUUGACGGUACCUAAUCAGAAAGCCACGGCUAACUACGUG
rnacentral:rRNA from 1 species